rnacentral:rRNA from 1 species
UCGGUACAAGAUGAGCAUGCGUCCCAUUAGUUAGUUGGUGUGGUAACGGCACACCAAGACGAUGAUGGGUAGGGGUCCUGAGAGGGAGAUCCCCCACACUGGUACUGAGACACGGACCAG